UUUCGCAAUGCCCGAAAGGGUGACGAAGCGACGCCGCGUGUGGGAAGAAGGCCUUCGGGUUGUAAGCCACCGUCAGGAGUUAAGAAAUGUAAGGAUGUUAAUAGCGUCCUUGCUUGACUAAGGCUCCGGAGGAAGCCACGGCUAACUCUGUACCAGCAGCCGCGGUAAUACAGAGGCGGCAAGCGUUGUUCGGAAUUAUUGGGCGUAAAGAGCACGUAGGCGGCUGUGUAAGUCGGUUGUGAAAGCCUUCUGCUUAACAGAAGAACAGUAUCUGAUACUACAGGGCUUGAGUGCGGGAGGGGAGAGUGGAACUUCUGGUGGAGCGGUGAAAUGCGUAGAUAUCAGAAGGAACGCCGGCGGCGAAAGCGACUCUCUGGCCCGUAACUGACGCUGAGUGUGCGAAAGCUAGGGGAUCAAACGGGAUUAGAUACCCCGGUAGUCCUAGCCGUAAACGAUGGGCACUAAGUAGAGGGGUUUU
rnacentral:rRNA from 1 species